rnacentral:misc_RNA from 1 species
UGGACCGGCGUGGUGGACUUGGAUUUGGGUGCUGCCGGGAGACCGGCUCGCCUUAAAGACCUUAGUCGGAAGGGUUCCCUCUGGGCUGACGUGAUUAGUUUCGUCAUCGUCCUUGGGAUCCCAUGUCGGCUCAUAACCCGCCCUCGGGCAAUUACUUUGUCAUGGACCUCAAAUCAGGUAGGACUACCCGCUGAACUUAA